UCGCUCUUGCAUCGAUGAAGAACGUAGCGAAAUGCGAUACUUGGUGUGAAUUGCAAGAAUCCCGUGAACCAUCGAGUCUUUGAACGCAAGUUGCGCCCGAAGCCCUUAGGCUGGAGGGCACGCCUGCCUGGGUGUCAACC
rnacentral:rRNA from 1 species